AGCCACACCUGUGGCAUAUGGAAGUUCCCAGGCCAGGGGUCAAAUGGAAGCUGCAGCUACAGGCUUACGCCACAGCCACAGUAAUACAGGAUCCAAGCUGCAUCUUUGACUUAACACCAUUGGUGGCAAUGCCAGAUCCUUAAACCACUGAAUGAGGCCAAGGAUCAAAUCCAUAACCUCAUGGAGACUAGUUGAGUUCUUAACCUGCUGAGCCACAAUGGAACUCUGGUCAUUUAUUCCUUUAGCACACACAUAAAAAUUUCUUCUACUUCCCUAUGUCUGUGUAGUUAAGAUUUGCUAAGUAUUUACGUCCGCUUACAACAAUAGUCCCAAUUUCCUGACUUUUCAUAGGAGUGACUUCAAAGCAGUUCUUAGAUUGGCAUGCCUUGGUUUAUUAUUCAUUUUCAGAGCAUCCUUGGAUGUAGGUAAGGGACUAGCAUUUUAUCUUUAUCCUACACAAUUAAAACUGAGAGUAUGAAGGGAUGAUGGGGCUUGCCCCCAAAAGACAAAGACAUUAACUAUUAUUAUGAAACUUGGCUUAGUACUCAGAUCUCCUUUAAUACAGGAGGGUGUUUUCCCCUGAGAUUAUGCUUCCUUUACAUAUCUUUAAACUGGGAAGCCUACACCAGACAAAUCCCAAGAAGAUUUUUGGAGGUUGGGUUAACAUGACCCAGUUCUGAGGCUGUGAAGACAGGGAAGCCAGGCUGAGAAAACUGUGCAUGUUUUGUGAUAUUUAGUGAGCAUCAUGCAACCACUGCUAACAGAUCAGCCAAAUAAAGCUGUGUAAGAAAAGGUGAGAAAUGGGAGUGCUUUUUAACACACUUCUGCUCUGGCCCUGAGUUUUGUGUCUUUGCCUCAUGCCCGCCCAACUGGAGCUCUUCCAUGUGUCACUGGAGCUGCUGUCGCAGGAACCAGAAGACUAGCUUCUCCAGCAGCCAACCAGGGGUAGGUGGCUUUGUGCAAGGAGGCUGCAGAGGAGAAUGUCCAGUUGUACUGAACCAGUCACACUUGUGACACGGGAACAGUACAUUCUUCAAGAAUGAAGCCAUUCAAAGCCCUUUGCUACCAAAGUCACAAGGAGGCAUUUGGAUUCCCACAGUCACCUCUCUCAAACUUGACUUGAGCCGCCACAGCCAAGUCACUUUGUUUCCACUGUAGCUCACAUUACGGGUGGCAGGUUCCACCUGUUUCAAUAUUUGGUUGAUGACGAAAGUGACCCUUGAGAGCGGAGUGACAUGGGCAGCUGAGCAGACUUCCAAACCAAUUGUGGGAAAAACCAAGAUAACCUGUACCCUAUAAAAGAGAUUAUGAAGACAAAUAAGGCCAAAAGAGGGUGCUGUGAGAAGUUUCUAUGUCUAAACUCUUUCUUGGGGUUAAUCAGUGUUGGGUGAGGGGUCAGUUUAAAGAGCAGAAGAAGCGGGCAUACGCUUAAGUUACAGAGGAAAGAAUGAAAAUCAGAUACAGUAAUGCUAACUCAAGAGGAGAAAGAAUAGACUUUGUAGAUUUCUGAAGCAGACACCUGGAAGCAAGACAGCACAACAAGUCCUUUUACUACUAGAAUGCUCUACAAGGAAGUAGGCGCAUCAGAGAGAGAAGGAGACACAAAAUCCUUUGCCAUCUUGAAAUACUCCUCCUCUAUGUCCCCUCAUCCUUGCCCUCCAGGCAAACCCCGCCUCUCCUCCAUGCUGUGCAUUAAUUGCUCUAUUCAUGAAUGUAAUGCCAGGACCAGAUUUCUCCCAACACAGCUUUUCACCCCACUCAACUUCUCAAAAGCCCUACCCCUUCCCAACCACCUCUCGAGAGUGGAUGAAGUGAUUGCUUAAGAUGAUUUAAGCACUGGGGAGAAUUUGACCAGCUCUCCUCCAUUUUAAGCUUGCCAUUCCAAAGAAGUGGUAGCCAGCUCAUGCAGACACUGGGGAAAACAUCAAGGUGUGGUAAGCAAGCACUGAAAGAGCACCUCAAAAGAUCUGGGGUCUUAUUUUGCCUUUGCCAUUUGCUUUCUGUGUGGCCUUGUGUCGAUAACUCAACGGCUCUCUGCCUACUUUAUUUCAAAAAGCCUGCCCAUAUUGUCUCUGAUGCAUUCUAAACAACAAGGAAUCAACAGAUGGUCUUUCUUCCUCUUGCAUCGGGUCACUCACAUUAAAGGUUUCUGGAAUGUGCACAUUCUGAUCAUCAGAAUCUCAGAAAAAGACAGUGAGGGGGCAAAGACAGCCCUUUACAAGUGCUUGUAUGAUGUAAACCACAUUCGUCUCUCUCUGAAAUCUCGUCUUUCCCUAAAAGAAUUUACUUUAUAGAAAAAGAAUAAUUUUGUGAUUAAAGAUUAUUUCAAUUUAGGAAUUGUCAGUGAAUUCAAUUUUAUUUUAUAAUAUAGUCGGGGUAAAUGUAUAUCAUGUCGGAAUAAUCGAUGAUUUUCUUGAUGCCUUUCUUCAACUGCUAUAAGCACUGAUAUUUUCAUGACAUUAAAGGCUCUGUAGUUAAACCAGAACAUUAAAUGCUGUCACCAUUCAGCAUUUCCCUGAUUGAGGAAGAUGUUACAGCUGAAUUUUCAUUGGAGGAUGUCUGUGGACUUUUUAUAAUCAUUAAGGCUCAUUACAUUAUUACUAGAUUUUCAUCUUCUAUGAAUCUUUAAGGAUCAAAACAAAAUAUAUGAAGAAAGGAAGGAUGCAUGUGUCGUUAUAGCUCCUUAACAAAUGGGAGAAAUGGUGCAGGAAAAUGGCCAAGUUUACCAUAAAUCACAAAAAUAGGAGUUCCCUUGUGGCUCAGUGGUAACAAAUCCAACUAGGAUCUGUGACGAUGAGGGUUCCAUCCCUGGCUUUGCUCAUUGUGGUUAAGGAUCUGGCAUUGCCAUGAGCUGUAGUGUAAGUCGCAGACAUGGCUCAGAUUCUGCAUUGCUGUGGCUGUGGUAUAGGCCAGCAGCUGUGGCUCAGAUUCGACCCCUAGCCUGGCAACUUCCAUAUGCUGCAGGUACAGCCCUAAAAAAAAUUUUUUUAAAUAGUUGGCAUUGAAGAGGUCACACUGUCUGUCCCUAGCCACCUUAAGUUUUAAAGGAAGCACUCAGAGUUCCUGUCGUGGCGCAGGGGAAACAAAUCCGACUAGGAACCAUGAGGUUGCAGGUUCGAUCCCUGGCUUCGCUCAGUGGGUUAAGGAUCCAGCAUUGCCAUGAGCUGUGGUGUAGGUUGAAGACUCGGCUUGGAUCUGACGUUGCUGUGGCUGUGGUGUAGGCUGGUGGCUACAGCUCUGAUUAGACCCCUAGCCUAGGAACCUCCAUAGGCCGCAGGUGCGGCCCUGAAAAGACAAAAAAUAAAUAAAUAAACAAAUAAAUAAAGGGAGCAUUCUGAGGCCCAUAGAGUUGAAGGGACUUGCCUGAAACCACACAGCUAGUAAGAGAGGCCUCCUUCCCAGACACUGGUCAUAGGUCAGGACAAGAUUUAGAGAGGCCUGAAGUUUAGGCAGACCUGGAUGCAUAGCCUGACUCUACGCUUUGCUAAUGUGUGACCUUGGGCUUCUGCAUCCUACUCUGUAAAACUGUGAAAAUUCCUCAGAAGUGGUUUGUGAGGAUGAAAGGAGAUGGCGCUUUUUUGUUUGUUUUUUGUUUUUUGGUAUUUUUAAAUAACAUAGUGUCUGGACACAGUAAGAGGGUGACGAAGUGGUCCCAGGUAGCACUACCACUGACUGAGCCAGGCUGGGAAAGAAAGAAUAUUUUUGUUCCCUUUUCCUUCAUUCUCCCCUCAGAUAGCCUAAGGGUGCUCUCCUCUUGCCCCUGCCGUCUGCACCACAUCAAGGCGGAGAGUUCCUUGCGUGUUACAAACGGCCUUGCAAGGCCUCACUUCCUGGGUUCUGCAUGCGGGGCUUCCUAACUCUAACUCUCUCUCUCUCUCUCUCUUCCUCUCUCUCGCUCUCUGGCUUUUCACUAAACCACGGCUUUUAAACUCCUCCAAGUCUGUGACUCAUCCACUAGUCCAAACUUGCACACAUUCCUACAAGAAAGAACUCAGAACUCUGCCUAUUAAAUUUCCAGUUACUAAUAAGACAUCAGAUUAGACAUUCAGCUGAGAAUGGCUGAAAAGCAAAACACAAGUGUAUUGAGAGCUCCCCCCAAUACACCCUUUAUUCUUGGCCUCUGUGAGUCCUUUAAUCCAUAACAAACAACGCAAAGUGCUACAUGAAAGGUGACAGGGGCGGGAUCCCCAGUGCUCCUGGAAGAGUUGGGAUAAGCGCUGGCAAACACAGAGUGAGGAGCAUGGAAAUGCCAAGGCAAUCAGGGCUAUAUAAAGACAGAUGCGUCAGUGUUCAGAACAGGGAACAUCUAUAAGACCCAGGGGUUAGCAGAAUGACGGUGGAGAGUGAAGCAAGAUAGCACCUGUUUGGAAAGGCUUCAAGGAAAAGAGUUCUGAAGGGCAGUGGGGUGACAGGCGGACCGCAGAGGUGACAAGAGGGAGCAGAGCGCAGAGGGCAAGGCGAUAACAGAAAGAAAAAGGGAGCAAAGAGCAAAAGUGAGGGUAUUUGCAAACUUCACCAGAACACCUUGCUGCCCACGUGAGCAAAGAGAACCGGAGAGCUGAAUACAUCUGAUUAGAAGCAGAGG
rnacentral:lncRNA from 1 species